UUCAGAGCAUAUUUGCCUCCAAACCCAGUAGCUACUUCUCCACAGGAAGCAAAUGUUAUCAAAAGUAAAGUUUCGAGAAGUUCAAACAGAAACCUCAGAAUCAAGCGUGAGAAUGACACUCUCCAGUGCAGGAUUGGCAGGCCUCGGAAAGAGCAGAGGGUGGGAACUAGAAAGGUACAGCUGUGGGAGGAAAGAUCGUUAGAGAAGUCCUGGUGUCCCUGCCAGCACUAUACACACUGGGUCUGGAGCCAGCACAGUCAGGCCAGGGUUGCUCAGGGAGACCUGAAUGGUGAUCAUCUGUCAUAAGAGAAGGUCGAUGUGGUGUGUGACUUCUGUCUUCAUAGCAAAAGGAGUCACGACUAGUCUGAUGGCACUGUCUUUAGUUCUGCAGCUACUUUAACACAGUCUGAGAGGCAAAGGGAUUCCCUGAGUCCAGGAGUUCAAGGCCACCCUGGAGAGCAUAGUGGGACACUGUCUCCAAAACAGAGGUCCUAAGAGUUUAAGAAGUAACAUCAGGUCAGGCAGUGGUGGUGAACACAUUUAAUCCCAGCACUUUGGAGGUAGAGGCAGCCUGGUCUACAGAGUGAGUUCCAGGACAGCCAGGGCUGCAGAGAGAAACCCUGUCUUGAAAAACAGAAAAAUGAUAAGUUACAUCAUUAUCUAAAAUCAAACCCAGUAAAGUACUGGAUUAAACAAAUGUUAAUGAAUUAUCUGAUAUUCUAGACACAGAUCCCCAGAUUUUUAGGUUUUUAGCAGAAAAACCUGACUUGGUAUAAAUAGGCAAUUCACUUUUCCUCGGUGUUACCAGAUUUCAAGGUGUCUG
rnacentral:lncRNA from 1 species